UACGAAGGGGGCUAGCGUUGUUCGGAAUUACUGGGCGUAAAGCGCACGUAGGCGGAUACUUAAGUUAGGGGUGAAAUCCCGGGGCUCAACCCCGGAACUGCCUUUAAUACUGGGUAUCUCGAGUUCGAGAGAGGUGAGUGGAAUUCCGAGUGUAGAGGUGAAAUUCGUAGAUAUUCGGAGGAACACCAGUGGCGAAGGCGGCUCACUGGCUCGACACUGACGCUGAGGUGCGAAAGCGUGGGGAGCAAACAGG
rnacentral:rRNA from 1 species